rnacentral:misc_RNA from 1 species
GAAAUGCGAUAAGUAGGGUGAAUUGCAGAAUUAAGUGAAUCAUCGAAUCUUUGAACGCACAUUGCGCCCCUUGGUAUUCCAUGGGGCAUGCCUGUUCGAGCGUCAUUUGUACCCUCAAGCUCUGCUUGGUGUUGGGUGUUUGUCCCCGUCUCCGCGCGUGGACUCGCCCCAAAGUGAUUGGCAGCCGGCGUACUGGUCCCGGAGCGCAGCACAUGUCGCGCAAACGAGUGCCUUGGUACGGCGGCGUCCAUAAGCCCCUCUCUCACGCUCUUGACCUCGGAUCAGGUAGGGAUACCCGCUGAACUUAAGC